rnacentral:rRNA from 1 species
GAUGAACGCUGGCGGCGUGCCUAAUACAUGCAAGUCGAGCGAACGGACGAGAAGCUUGCUUCUCUAAUGUUAGCGGCGGACGGGUGAGUAACACGUGGAUAACCUACCUAUAAGACUGGGAUAACUUCGGGAAACCGUAGCUAAUACCGGAUAAUAUUUUGAACCGCAUGGUUCAAAAGUGAAAGACGGUCUUGCUGUCACUUAUAGAUGGAUCCGCGCUGCAUUAGCUAGUUGGUAAGGUAACGACUUACCAAGGCAACGAUGCAUAGCCGACCUGAGAGGGUGAUCGGCCACACUGGAACUGAGACACGGUCCAGACUCCUACGGGAGGCAGCAGUAGGGAAUCUUCCGCAAUGGGCGAAAGCCUGACGGAGCAACGCCGCGUGAGUGAUGAAGGUCUUCGGAUCGUAAAACUCUGUUAUUAGGGAAGAACAUAUGUGUAAGUAACUGUGCACAUCUUGACGGUACCUAAUCAGAAAGCCACGGCUAACUACGUG